AUAUGACUGGGGUGACUAUGAGUAGAACUAAUACUCAGAUGGGUCACACCCCUCAACCUGAUGAUGAACCAAUAUAUGAAAACUGACUUGCACACCUCUUUAAGGAUAAUUAGGCAUUAAAGUUUUCCAGAGGAAACCUGUUCUUGGAUGUGGAAGUGGAAGUGAAUUGUUG